UCUCCUGCUGUUACAUUAGGGAGACACCGCAGAUCUACAGGAGCUGUCUUAUAGACAGUGCACGACUCUUCAAUAUCAGAUGCCACAACAUUUUUGCCCACCACAACAUAGCUGUAAUAAUUGGACGGAGCUUUCAUUUUUGAAAAAUGAUUUGCAGUGAUAUUACAGGAAGCAGUGUCUACAUAAAGAGGAGGAUAUUUCGAUUUCACCAGAUUUUUACAGCUCACAAAGACC
rnacentral:lncRNA from 1 species